rnacentral:rRNA from 1 species
GAGAGGUGCUGCAUGGCUGUCGUCAGCCCGUGUUGUGAAAUGUUGGGUUAAGUCUCGCAACGAGCGCAACCCCUAUCGUCUGUUGCCAGCAUUAAGUUGGGCACUCUGACGAGACUGCCUGGGUUAACCAGGAGGAAGGUGGGGAUGACGUCAAGUCCUCAUGGCCCUUAUGUCUAGGGCUACACACGUAAUACAAUGGCGCGUACAGAGGGAAGCGAACCUGCGAGGGGGAGCAAAUCUCAAAAAGCGCGCCUCAGUUCGGAUUGAAGUCUGCAACUCGACUCCAUGAAGUUGGAAUCGCUAGUA